ensembl:lncRNA
GUCUGUAUGGGUCCCUAUGUGUCCCUAUGGGUCCCUAUGUGUCUCAAUGUGUCCCUAUGUGUCUCCAUGGGGUCGCUAUGGGUCGCUAUGGGUCGCAAUGUGUCGGUAUGUGUCCCCCUGGUGGCUGUGUGUCUCUAUGUGUCCCUAUGUGUCCCUAUGUGUCUCCAUGGCAUCCCUAUGUGUCUCCAUGGCAUCCCUAUGUGUCCCUAUGUGUCCCUACGUGUCUCCAUGGCAUCCCUAUGGGUCCCUAUGUGUCUCCAUGGGGUCGCUAUGGGUCGCACUGUGUCGGUGUGUGUCCCCCUGGUGGCUGUGUGUCUCUAUGUGUCCCUAUGGGUCCCUAUGUGUCCCUAUGUGUCCCUAUGUGUCCCUAUGGUUCUCUAUGUGUCCCUACGUGUCUCCAUGGCAUCCCUAUGGGUCGCUAUGGGUCGCUAUGGGUCGCUAUGGGUCGCAAUGUGUCGGUAUGUGUCCCCCUGGUGGCUGUGUGUCUCUAUGUGUCCCUAGGUGUCCCUAUGUGUCUCCAUGGCAUCCCUAUGUGUCUCCAUGGCAUCCCUAUGUGUCUCCAUGGCGUCCCUACGGGUCCCUAUGGGUCGCUAUGUGUCGCUCUGUGUCCCCAUGUGUCGGUAUGUGUCCCCAUGGUGGCUGUGUGUCCCUAUGUGUCCCUACGUGUCCCUAUGUGUCUGUAUGUGUCCCUAUGUGUCCCUAUGUGUCCCUAUGUGUCUCAAUGUGUCCCUAUGUGUCUCCAUGGGGUCCCUAUGGGUCGCUAUGGGUUGCAAUGUGUCGGUGUGUGUCCCCCUGGUGGCUGUGUGUCUCUAUGUGUCCCUAUGUGUCUCUAUGUGUCUCUAUGUGUCCCUAUGUGUCUCUAUGUGUCUCUAUGCGUCGCUAUGGGUCUCUGUGGGUCCCUACGUGUCCCUAUGUGUCCCUAUGUGUCUCUAUGGGUCCCUAUGUGUGUCUAUGUGUCCCUAUGGGGUCCCUAUGUGUCUCUAUGGGUCUCUAUGGGUCUCUAUGUGUCUGUAUGUGUCCCUAUGUGUCUCUAUGUGUCUCUGUGCGUCUCUAUGGGUCCCUAUGUGUCUCUAUGGGUCCCUAUGUGUCCCUGUGUGUCCCUAUGCGUCUGUAUGUGUCCCUAUGUGUCCCUAUGUGUAUCCAUGGGGUCCCUAUGGGUCGCUAUGGGUCCCUAUGGGUCUCUAUGUGUCCCUAUGUGUCUCUAUGUGUCUCUAUGCGUCGCUAUGGGUCUCUGUGGGUCCCUAUGUGUCCCUAUGUGUCCCUAUGUGUCUCUAUGGGUCCCUAUGUGUGUCUAUGUGUCCCUAUGGGGUCCCUAUGUGUCUCUAUGGGUCUCUAUGGGUCUCUAUGUGUCUGUAUGUGUCCCUAUGUGUCUCUAUGGGUCCCUAUGUGUGUCUAUGUGUCACAAUGUGUCCCUAUGUGUCCCUAUGUGUCCCUAUGGGUCCCUAUGUGUCCCUAUGUGUCCCUAUGGGUCCCUAUGGGUCGCUAUGGGUCGCUAUGUGUCCCCAUGUGUCGGUAGGUGUCCCCAUGGGUGGCUGUGUGUCUCUAUGUGUCUCAGUGUGUCUCCAUGUGUCUCUAUGUGUCUCUAUGUGUCCCUACGUGUCUCUAUGUGUCCCUAUGUGUCUCCUUGGGGUCCCUAUGGGUCGCUAUGGGUCCCUAUGUGUCCCUAUGGGUCCCUAUGUGUCUGUAUGUGUCCCUACGUGUCCCUAUGGGUCCCUAUGGGUCUCUGUGUGUCUCUAUGGGUCCCUAUGUGUCCCUAUGUGUCUGUAUGUGUCUGUAUGGCUCUCUAUGUAUCCCUAUGGGUCUCUAUGGGUCUCUAUGGAUCUCUAUGGGUCACAGUGGCUCUCUACGUUUCUCUAUGGUUCUCUAUGUGUCCCUAUGUGUCCCUAUGUGUCCCUAUGGGUCCCUAUGUGUCCCUAUGUGUCUCUAUGGGUCUCUGUGUGUCUCUAUGGGUCCCUAUGUGUCCCUAUGUGUCUCCAUGGCAUCCCUAUGUGUCUCCAUGGCAUCCCUAUGGGUCCCUAUGUGUCGCUAUGUGUCCCUAUGUG